CCUACGGGGGGCAGCAGUGGGGAAUAUUGGGCAAUGGACGCAAGUCUGACCCAGCAACGCCGCGUGAAGGAAGAAGGCUUUCGGGUUGUAAACUUCUUUUAAGGGGGAAGAGCAGAAGACGGUACCCCUUGAAUAAGCCACGGCUAACUACGUGCCAGCAGCCGCGGUAAUACGUAGGUGGCAAGCGUUGUCCGGAUUUACUGGGUGUAAAGGGCGUGCAGCCGGAGAGACAAGUCAGAUGUGAAAUCCACGGGCUCAACCCGUGAACUGCAUUUGAAACUGUUUCCCUUGAGUGUCGGAGAGGG
rnacentral:rRNA from 1 species